UCCAGUUCCUCUCCACAGAGCAGCUCCUACUAUUUCCUGGGUCUACUAGACCAUGAAGUCUCAUGACUUCAACUUGCACCUGGACUGACUCCACAUGACCUUCAGUCUAUCACCAUCCAUCAACAGGCUGGCUCAGUCUCUCUUUCUGCAAAGAUCUGAUGAGCAAUCAGGACUGCAGGAAGGAGAAUGUAAAAGAAUCAGAAAACUGCGUGGCUGGAAUUAUACAGGGUUUGAGUCCCAGUUUCACAGCUUGCUGGUCAUACUCUUGGAGUCCAGCCAUCACCAAAGAAGAACAAGUAGCCAUGCUGAUGGUGCCAGAUGGAGAAGAGAUACUGCUAUGGUUUGGAAAUUAUUUGUUUUCCACAGAUUGAUG